GCCGGCGCACCGAGUCUGUCCACUUCCGGGAGCUCUGGCGCAGGCGCACUCUGAGAGACGCGCGCGCCGCACGCGGUCACGUGAAGGAGUUGCCGCGGCGUCACUCACCUGGUUCCCGCUGCGCGGUGGGGUCCUGGCUUAAUCUUAAGUUAUGGAGGUCUCCCCUUUUUCUUUACUGUCUGGACGGGUGGACUGGACACUUUCACGUAAGAAUAACUACUGUUCCACUCCCUGCUGAAGUACGCCUGCUGUACUUACAGCUGCGAGGCUUUUCAAUUACCUGCCCAAGACCUUGCAGCCUCCAGGUUAUGUUGACCAAUGAUAUUUCAUUGAGCCACUGUUGACGGCCUGCUGUGUACAUAUUCUUGAGUGUACCGGGAACCUGAGUAAAUAAGAUUCCUGCUUUUUUGCAGUUUACAGUCAGGUAAGGACACUGACGGUAAGGUAAAAUAUCAUAAUGAUAAAAGGGGAGUUGGUUGUGGGAGCUUGAAAUUUAGGAUAUGUGGUCCCUUGGAAGAAUCAGACUUAAAUGAGAAAAAAGGCUUUCUUUACAAAGGUGAACUUAAAAAGACUCUUGCAAAGUUCCCACCCUAACUUGGGAUAUGAAAGAAUUCCACUGCCCUUCUUAAGCCCACCCUCCCCCACUGUAGUAGUGUAGCCCAGUGGUUCUCAGACAAGUGAUUGUACACUUGAAGGAACAUUUAGCAAUAAUUAGAGACAUUUUUAGUUGCAACUAGCAACUAAUAGGUAGAGUCCGGAGAUGCUACUAAACAUCCUAUAAUGCACGGGAUAGUCCCCACAACAAAGGUUAUCUGGCCUAAAACAUCAAUACUAAGGGUGAGGGUCUCUUGAAAAGCAUACUGUUAUGAACAAGUUCCAAAUUUUGAGAAAUAUACUGCUGGGGUUAUAGUCUGAUCCAUUUGGAAACGGUAGAUUGUUCCAAAGAAUGAAUGAAGGCUUGUCUUGAGAAGUUAGAAGAAAGCAUUGUUGGAGAGAUAUCACUGCCUAAGUAAGAAUAAAGGGAGAGAAGUAAGGAAUGGGGUAGACCAAUGAGGAUUGACUUUCUUGAGAACUUUUCCAUUAAAGUAAGGAGAAAGUCAUUGUAAUUUUCUUUGUUGGCCAAUCCUCAUUAAAGGGAAAGUAAAGGAACAAGACAACAAAGAAUUUGAAUGACCUCAUACUCAGACCUCUGCUGAUCCCAUGGGAAGAAGCUACAUGCUAGGAACUCUAUCCAGAGGUUCCAAGUUGUGACCAGCAGCUAUAUGAUUAGAGAAACACACAAGUGAGGAGUGAGUUUAGGUGUAAAACUAAGGGAUUUAAUGUCAGGACCACUCCAGUCCCCCUGAAGUGCCAUAGUAACAUUGACCUUCCUAAAGGAGUAGUUGGAUCUCAAUAACUUCCUUUCCAGAAGGCUCCUUCAUCUUUGGGAAGAAUAUUUUUCUCUCAACAAGCUUCAAGCUCUUGAACUCACUGUAACAAAGGACUUGAUGAAAAGAGCCAUGUUGUCAAUUCCCUUCCCUAUUUGCUCUACAUCUUCCUAAUUAAAAGGGAUCCCUCAGUAUGUCUUCCAAAACAAAGGUGAUCUCCACUAGCAGGGAUGCUGCUGACACCUGUAAAUGGUAGUUUCUCUGCUAAUAAAAAUUUGAAUUACUGCCUUGCUGAA